rnacentral:lncRNA from 1 species
UGCCUCUCGAGGGGAGAAGGGUUAGGGUCUAAAAAUGGGCAAUAGUGCCUUGAGUAUUUUGUGGAUGGUCCCUAAAUUAUCGCCUCUGCGGGACGAUUUUUGAAACUGAUGGACAAAGUGAUAGAUAAAGAAGACAUAGGGAGUAUGGAGCGAUCUUAUUUGUUGACGUGGUUGGUUCUCAUAGACUGAGGGAGAAAAUGAGUAACUGUCGGGUCUUUAGUGGGUUGCCGUUAGUUAGUCCAUUACCUACCUCCUAAGUCCUAUGUCCAUUGCCACCACCUGCUUCCAUACCAAUAGGAUCCCUCCAAAUCCCUUUUGUCGUCUUUGUCUAUAGCUUUGUCUAUCAGUUUCAAUAAUCGGCCCGCUGCAUGCAUUGGGGUGUUUUGCAUGUUAUUAGUGGCAUUACCUUAUUUUGCGUGUUUUAACACUAUGGCCCCUUCCCCUGCGACUGUUCUGUCUGAAACUAAUUAUUUCAUCGUGUUUCAUCUCAUGAUAUCAAACGAAUCGCCCAUGCAAAAAUUAAUAACGUUGCACUAAAAUGCUUAAGUUAAUUAAUCAUUUGUGCAUGUCUCAAAUGAACCACUUACGUAAUUUUAUUUUAGGGGAAAUAUAUAUUUCUUUACUGCGGGCAUUUUUGUAUGGGCUGAAUCUCUGCUGAGGCACCGAGCCUAUAUUUCGCCUUCAUUUCACGAGUUAUGCAAUAUGCUGUUCUUUUGGAUCGGAUGUUUAUGAUGACUGGUGAGGUCGAGGUCCCGAACAUUCCCGAAGUUCAACGAGAAAUCAGCAGCCGCUGCCGAAUUUGACCUCUGCUUUCCGAGUUUGUGAUAAUUUCAGGUCAGAAACCUACCUAAUUAAACCCUUUUAUCCAAAAUGGCUCACGAACCAGUGUACACCGGUUGGAGAAAGUACUACAACUCCGAAACGCAGCUGGGGAGAGCAUCGGCUGCAAGAAUCACCUAUGGCGUUGCUGCUCUUGUUUUUGUGUACUAUAAGUUCAUAAAGCCCAAGCCAGCAGCAGCAGCAGCUGAAAAGAAAUGAGCCCCCUUCCUCAAUAUGUCCUAGGUAGUGUAAGUUAAGGUCUCUCAGAAUGUUCAUCGUUCGUUUCCUUAUGGUUUUCAAUCAUUUUGCAUUUUAAAUCAAGCUGUCAAACUUCAGAUGAGCGCGAAGGUAACGGAAAGAGUGGAAACCGUUCCUAGUAAAUUGUAAAAAUUAAUUUGUAAGGUAAAGCAGGAACUUGAGAGUCUCAAAACCCAGCAGAUAAAAAAUUCCAACUGUCAAAUCUUAUUUUGUAUAGGUCUUCUUUUCUCUCUUUAUGUUGGGUAUCUCAGCAUUGAAAGUUAUGAUUUUUUUUGUUGAAUAUUAAAAGAUUAAAAAUCCACACACUGUUCCAUUCUGUUUGUUGUCAUUCGUCAUCCUCUCAGUCUCCACCUUUCCCUCUCUACAUAAAUGAACUGAAUUCUGAGGGCAAAAGUAAAGAUUCAUUUUUCUGUCAAGGGUUCAAAAGUCUCAAAAUGCAGACUGUCGGCUGCGAUUCGGUGUUUUUGCCUCACGGAUACUACUUAUUCAAAUUUUAGCAGAAUGCCUGAUAUCAACAUGUGUCAGUCGCCCCACUUCUUUAAUGCGUUGAGUAGGGAAAAAUAAAUAUUUUUCUUUGAAAGUUGCCUCACAACCAAAGAUCUGACAUUUGCUUAAAUCGUUAAACCACAGAAUCAGGAAGUUUUUGGACCUUUGCUUUACAAUAUUGUGUGCCACGUUUCUCUUAGUUAUUUAUUAUUACUUCUAAACCUUCUGACAUAAUGAUCAUGAAAGUUCCAAAAUUUGCACAUUAAAACUCUAUAAUUUUGACCGUAGCGUCCAGUUCUCUAAAAAAAAACCCUGCAAUUUAGUGUUUUUUUCGAACUUGAAAGGUGGGUGAAGAUUCUAGCUCAAAAACUGUGUCUUUGAUAAAACAGCUGCCAAAGAUUUGGCUAUGUGUACUUUGAUGUAAAUUGUAAGCAUAUCAAAGUCAUUAAAAAUUAAGAACUGUGCUUGUAAUGAAGUUUGUGUUUUCAUUUAUAGAUUUUGCUAAUUUUAUGUCUCAGGAAAAAGAAAACUAUGAAAACUAGAAGAGGGUCUUCCUGCAUUGAAGAAGCCCAUUUAGUACUUUUUAUCUGAGCCGGUUUCAAACGCCUUUGUUGCUGUAUGCACCGGAUAGCGAAUUCCCUAUUCUGUGCUAACAGCGAAAAAUGCAAAAACAUGUGAAAUGGGUUCUAGUUUGCCUGUUUUAAAUUGUUUUUAAAGAAAAUACACCACCUCAAAUUUUAAGAUUGUUUUUUAUCACGGAUGACUACUGAUUAUCUGAUCUCGAUUAUGAAUAGAAAGGGACAGGGGAAGUGAGAUUAAAAAUAUAAAAUUUAUGAUUCUUGAGGAGCAAAGAAACGUCUUAAAUUUAACCUUUCCUUCUUAUUUAUUUUAUCAAUUCAAGAUUCUUUUAUCAUUAAGAAGGCGAAAUUCAAAGUUGAAUAAAAACCAGGUGACAAUCCAUGUGCAAUUGUGAUUGGCUUUGGUAUUCUAACAUUCUAAUGUUCCCAUUUUAUAAGUAAAAAAUUAAACUAACUUGAUUACCAUAGGUAAGAAAGUCCCAUCUCCCAUCAACUCCAGAAAGCAACCGUUGUUUCAGAUCUUCAAAUUCGAGUUGCCUAGCCAGGAAUCCAACUUGGGACCUGCUGAUUGUAGAGCCAGCAUUACAACCACUAAGUAUGCAUAUAUACCAAUUAAGGCCAACACUAAUCGACAAACUAUUUGUCCUUACAAUCUGCAGAUUAAAACUCAGUCAAAAGUCUGUUGAAUUCUCUAGGUGCAGAAAAUAAAAAGAUUUCAACAUCGACAAAACAAUGUAAAUAGCAACCCUACUAGGUCUACAGCUGUAGAAAAGAACCUCUAAAAAACUCUUGAAUAUCAAGUGGACAACUCUUAAAAAAAACUAUUAAAUAUUCGUAUCAGGAAACACUCAUUGGCUAUUUUUUUUUAAGUAAAAUUUACGAGCCGUCAAAUUUAAGUAAUAAAGUGUUAAAAAAAACUCUUAAAAUAUCAACUGUAGUUUUUCAACACUAAAAAUGUCGGAAAGAAAUGUUAAAAAACCAUUUUUAUAUUCUAAGAGUCUUGUAACACUUUUUUCCUUAGAUUUUACUUGAAUCUUACUUCUCGUAAAUUUUAGGUACUCAAAAAAUACUUAUUGUUAGUUAAAAAAGGGUCUCCUAAUGUGAAACAUUUUAAGAGUUUUUGAAAAUUGUUUAAAAAAUGAAAUAAAUAGGAAAAAAUGCAUUUAAAGAGGAGGAAACUAAAGGCUAAAUCUUGUUGCGUGAUUUUACCUUGCGGUGAGUCACUUGGAGAAAUGCAUGCAUCUUGAAAUGGAAAUGCUGCGGCUUAACUGCGCUCUGAGUGCUGGCCUGUACGAUUUGAAUACUGGCGUGGUUGCUG